UACGUAGGGGCUAGCGUUAUCCGGAAUUACUGGGCGUAAAGGGUGCGUAGGUGGUUUCUUAAGUCAUAGGUGAAAGGCUACGGCUCAACCGUAGUAAGCCUUUGAAACUGGGAAACUUGAGUGCAGGAGAGGAGAGUGGAAUUCCUAGUGUAGCGGUGAAAUGCGUAGAUAUUAGGAGGAACACCAGUUGCGAAGGCGGCUCUCUGGACUGUAACUGACACUGAGGCGCGAAAGCGUGGGGAGCAAACAGGAUUAGAUACCCUGGUAGUCCCUGAG
rnacentral:rRNA from 1 species